UGACAAAAAGUGAUGUGAGUCCGUC
rnacentral:miRNA from 1 species